UCUCUUUGUUUUCUUUUAUUCAAUUCAUUAGCGGAUUAGUAGAAAGUAAUCACGAUUAUUUAGCAAUUAGGGUUUAUUUAAGUUGUGAGAGGAAGUUCUUAAAUUAAUGGGUUUAGUGUCGAUCUUGCAAUUUUAUAACUUAGAGAACUAUCAUUUUUUAUUCCCACGUCUCCUAAAGGAAAUUUACAGUUUUUCUAAAUAUUUUUUUUAAACAAAUGUGAUAUUGCAAUCUAGUUAAAUACUUACUCUCUACCUACUCUCUAAUGGUUAACAAACCUGUUAAACUCUAAUAUGCAUCAGUUGUUCAGGGAUUUGUUUGAAUUAUAAAUGCGGGAUGGCUACGAAAAUUAUAAUGGUAGAUGAACCAAAUUAUUGUCUCAAAAUGAUUUCUUUGCAGUGAUCACAGACUACAAUUAUGUAUUUUCCGAAAAUGGUCUUGUUGCUUACAAGAAUGGCGAACUCAUUGGCAAACAGAGCUUGAAAUCAUUCCUUGGAGAUGAAAAGCUCAAGGAGUUUAUUAAUUUCACACUUCACUAUAUUGCUGAUCUGGAUAUCCCCUUAAAAAGGUUGGUUGGAGCAGCUUGAUAUUGGAAUUACAGAUCCUAUCUUUUGUGGUUCGUUGUAACUUAUUUGUAUUCUCAGGUGUUGAGAAUCCUAUCGGGUCCGAUAUUCAUCAAAAGCUGCUUUUUGACUUUUGGAUUCUACAUGUGGUAUAUCGACAACUGUUUUCAUCUCUUAUAUUUACUGUCUUGUUGGUGAGGGUAUAUUUACUGUUUUGUUGAUGCAGUAACGUAUAUUUAUACGUAGUUGCUUCGGCUGAUCUUUGUAAGCUACCUUUGUAUUUUUUAUUGCGUUGAAAUACCGUCUAUUGGUGAAUUUUCAUGUGUCAUUUUGCUAAAAUGUGAAAGACGAAGAAGGUUCAUGCCUAAGUGUAGCUACUCUUUUGUGUUCGAACUUGCAAAAAGUGUAUAUAAUUUAAAUAUGGAUCGAAAUCCCCUUGAAUAGAUGUUCUGGAUGAAUUUUUUUGCUUUUAUGCUAUAAUCAUACUUCUAUUAUGUUUUUAAUUUUUUCUUAAAUAUAUCUACUCUUGCCUUGUUGACUUAUAUUUGAAUAUUUUGUAUCGUGUAGGAGCGGGUCAUCGAAAAGGUAAUCUCAUCAGGGGUCGAUUCAACCCUAGAGGAUGAUGCACUUUCUUUCAAGAGGACAUUCUUUGAGGAAUUUCUUCUUUUCCUUGACUUGAUUGAUUAUGUUGGAUAUUAGAGACAAAUAUAUAAUAUUAGAUGCUUUUUAUUGUGAGAUAUUGAGUAAUCAUUGUGUAUGUAUAUGUUUUGUCUCUAAUAUUGUAUAUUGAGUAAACAUUGUGUAUGAAUAUAUAACAUUGGAUAUUUAGCAAAGUUUGAAAUAUUUUGAUUUCA